rnacentral:rRNA from 1 species
CCUGGUAGUCCAUGCUAUAAACUAUGAAUACUAGAUAGUAGAACCGAUUAAUUCCGUAUAAAUAUAUAUCGAACGAGGAAAAUUAACCGACUGUUUUUAUCACUUUUAACAUUUUAAUAUUAAAAGAUAGCACGUUACACAUUCCGCCUGGGGAGUAAGAACCGCAAGGUCUGAAACUCGAAGGAAUUGACGGGAGCUUAUGCUUACGGUGGAGCAUGUGGUUUAAUCCGAUAGCCCGCGUGAAAUCUUACCAAUUUUUGACAUUUAUAUAUUUUUGAUAUCGAGCAGGGGUUGCAUGGCCGUCGUCAGCUUAUGUUUUGAAAUUUAUGAUAUAAGUACAACCCUUAUUUUAAUUUGCUAUUAUUCUACAAUUUUUAUUAAUUUAUAAAAAAUUAAAUAAGAACUAUUAAAAUUAAAAUAACAAAUUUUGUUAAAAGGAUGAAGAUAGGUCGUUAUGACCCUUAUAAAUUGGGCUACACAUUGGUG